GAUGAACGCUGGCGGCGUGCCUAAUACAUGCAAGUCGAGCGAACGGACGAGAAGCUUGCUUCUCUGAUGUUAGCGGCGGACGGGUGAGUAACACGUGGAUAACCUACCUAUAAGACUGGGAUAACUUCGGGAAACCGGAGCUAAUACCGGAUGAUAUUUUGAACCGCAUGGUUCAAAAGUGAAAGACGGUCUUGCUGUCACUUAUAGAUGGAUCCCCGCUGCAUUAGCUAGUUGGUAAGGUAACGGCUUACCAAGGCAACGAUGCAUAGCCGACCUGAGAGGGUGAUCGGCCACACUGGAACUGAGACACGGUCCAGACUCCUACGGGAGGCAGCAGUAGGGAAUCUUCCGCAAUGGGCGAAAGCCUGACGGAGCAACGCCGCGUGAGUGAUGAAGGUCUUCGGAUCGUAAAACUCUGUUAUUAGGGAAGAACAUAUGUGUAAGUAACUGUGCACAUCUUGACGGUACCUAAUCAGAAAGCCACGGCUAACUACGUG
rnacentral:rRNA from 1 species